rnacentral:rRNA from 1 species
CGUAGGAUCCAAGCGUUAUCCGGAUUUACUGGGCGUAAAGAGUUGCGUAGGUGGCAAGGUAAGUUAGUAGUGAAAGCGUGUGGCUCAACCAUACUCACAUUACUAAAACUGCCUAGCUUGAAGAUGAGAGAGGUCACUGGAAUUCCAAGUGUAGGAGUGAAAUCCGUAGAUAUUUGGAGGAACACCGAUGGCGUAGGCAGGUGACUGGCUCAUUCUUGACACUAAGGCACGAAAGCGUGGGGAGCAAACGGGAUUAGAUACCCCGGUAGUCCACGCCGUAAACGAUGGAUGCUAGCUGCUAGGAGUAUCGACCCUCCUAGUAGCGAAGCUAACGCGUUAAGCAUCCCGCCUGUGGAGUACGGUCGCAAGACUAAAACAUAAAGGAAUUGACGGGGACCGCACAAGCGGUGGAGCGUGUUGUUUAAUUCGAUGGUAAGCGAAGAACCUUACCCAGGCUUGACAUCCUGCUAAUCACUCCGAAAGGAGAGAGUGCCUUCGGGCCGCAGAGACAGGUGUUGCAUGGCCGUCGUCAGCUCGUGUCGUGAGAUGUUUGGUUAAGUCCAUCAACGAGCGCAACCCUUAUAGUUAGUUGUAUUUCUCUAGCUAGACUGCCNUGGUAACAGGGAGGAAGGGGGGGAUGAUGUCAGGUCAGUAUUACCCUUACGUCUGGGGCUACAAACACGCUACAAUGGCCGGUACAAAGGGCUGCCAACCCGCGAGGGGGAGCAAAUCCCAUCAAAGCCGGUCUCAGUUCGGAUUGCAGGCUGAAACUCGCCUGCAUGAAGCUGGAAUCGCUAGUAAUGGUAGGUCAGCACACUACCGUGAAUACGUUCCCGGGUCUUGUACACACCGCCCGUCAAACCAUGAAAGUCGCCAAUACCUGACGUGCCAUCUUUAGAUGGUCCUAAGGUAGGGGAGAUGAUUGGGGUU